rnacentral:misc_RNA from 1 species
CAAUACUGAAAGACCUCCCCUCCGGGGGAGUGAUUUUCAAACCCUUGUGAACUACAACUCUGUUGCUUCGGGGGCGACCCCGCCGUCUCGGCGGUGGUGCUCCCGGUGGCCAUCUAUUAAACUCUGCAUUACCUUGCGUCGGAGUCUUAUAAAGAAUUAAACA